rnacentral:rRNA from 1 species
UGGGGAAUCUUGCGCAAUGGGCGAAAGCCUGACGCAGCGACGCCGCGUGCGGGAAGAAGGCCUUCGGGUUGUAAACCGCUUUCAGGAGGGACGAAGCCACUCGGGUUAAUAGCCCAGAGGGUGACGGUACCUCCAGAAGAAGCCCCGGCUAACUACGUGCCAGCAGCCGCGGUAAUACGUAGGGGGCUAGCGUUGUCCGGAUUUAUUGGGCGUAAAGAGCGCGUAGGCGGCCGAGUAAGUCCGACGUGAAAUCUGGAGGCUCAACCUCCAGCGGUCGUUGGAAACUACUCGGCUAGAGUCCGGAAGAGGAGAGUGGAAUUCCUGGUGUAGCGGUGAAAUGCGCAGAUAUCAGGAAGAACACCGAUGGGCGAAAGCAGCUCUCUGGGGCGGUACUGACGCUGAGGCGCGAAAGCGUGGGGAGCGAACAGGAUUAGAUACCCUGGUAGUCCACGCCGUAAACGAUGGGUGCUAGGUGUGGGCGGUGUCGGACUCCGCCCGUGCCGAAGCUAACG